UAUGAACAAGUUAAGGCACUUAAACAAGGUAUUGCUGUGGAGAAACCAAUUUAUAAUCAUGUUACUGGAAUUCUCGAUUCUCCUGAGCUCAUUCAACCUCCCAAGAUCCUGGUUAUUGAAGGACUGCACCCAAUGUAAGAUUGAUUGAUGAAAACCAUAAUUUGUUCAUCAUCUCUUAUUCUUCGUCCUUUUAAAAUAUUAUUUCUAGUUAUUAAUUAUUAACAGCAUAAUGAAUUAGUGAUUAUCAUAGUCAAUAUCUUCAUGUUAUUCAUUAAACUUUAAGAACCCACUAUAAUUCCAUACCUUGGUACAAAAGCAAAUAAGCAAUCCAGUAAAAGCUUACAAUUUUAUACUUUUUGUGAUUUGUUGUAGGUACGAUUCUCG
rnacentral:lncRNA from 1 species